ensembl:lincRNA
AUGUCUCUCUCCAGGACAAUGUUAACCUCUUCCACGGUGGAGUGGGGCUAUGUGAUUUUGUGCUUAAUUUACCUAGCUGGUGGGCCUCCAGUAGAGGCUGAACCAGUCGAGCCAGCUGAUACCACAUCAAUUCUCCAAAGCUUAUCUUCAUUUGCCUGGCUUGCUCUGCCACCUCUGUGA